UGUCUCCCUAAUAGAGGGUUGACAGUUGACGUACAACGCCUCCUGGCGGCCAUGUUGGAAGACCACCACAUAAAUUAUUUUAACAACAGCUGAAUGGCCACCCCAAGCUGCAUGAUAACAGUGCCUAAAACCAGUUGAUUCAUCACCACGGUCAAUUUCUGUGCAGUAUUUGGCUGCUCUAACAAGGCAGGAAAUACAAUUGGAUUUUGUUACAGAUUACCCACAAUCAUGAAUCACCAAGGAGAUAAGACUCAAAAACUGUCAGAAAAGCGAAUUAACAUUUUUGCCCGUCAAAACCUGAACCCACUGUACUGUAGGUUCACCAGCUGACCUCUAUCAAGACAUCCAUGCCAACUGGAUUCCCACUGUGAUGCCCACUGUGAAUGCUGCAGCAGCAUCAGUUUCUACUUCUACUACUCUUUCUUUUUCCAGAUGUGAAAGGAGACAUCCCUUAUACAAAAUGGUUGUCAUAUGCCGUGCUGGGUCUAUCGGAAUGAUUUUGUUGUGAUAUUUGAGUAGAGAGCACCUUCACCUUGUCACCAUGACAAAAGUACCCCCUUAAACUGUAUGAAUACACAAAAUAUAUGCAUAUACAAUGUAA